UAAUACAGAGGGUGCGAGCGUUAAUCGGAAUUACUGGGCGUAAAGGGUGCGUAGGUGGCUACGUAAGUUAGGUGUGAAAUUCCUGGGCUUAACCUGGGGACUGCGCCUGAUACUGCGAGGCUAGAGUACUGUAGAGGAAGGUGGAAUUUCCAGUGUAGCGGUGAAAUGCGUAGAUAUUGGAAGGAACAUCGGUGGCGAAGGCGACCUUCUGGACAGAUACUGACACUGAGGCACGAAAGCAUGGGGAGCAAACAGGAUUAGAUACCCUGGUAGUCCAUGCCGUAAACGAUGAAGACUGGCUGUUGGAAGCCCUAGGGUUUUUAGUAGCGAAGCUAACGCGUUAAGUCUUCCGCCUGGGGAGUACGGCCGCAAGGUUA
rnacentral:rRNA from 1 species